rnacentral:lncRNA from 13 species
UGACCCUGUGGUCAAGAAGAAAGACAACCUGCUACCCUGCUGUGACUGUGAUGAAUCCAGAGUCCUCAUGUAGAUCAUUAUAAAGAGAUUCUGGUGAAGAGGAGAGAAACCGGCACUCGCUCCCUGAGGUGAGGGAGUUGAGGGUGAGAGACACUUGAGAGUCGGUCUAAAGCUGUGUCCUUAGAGUAUCCACUUUGAACUGGUUCCUUUCAGGUCUGUGGGCUGUGCAGACAGAAUAUUCCUCUGAUUCAUCCUCAUUACAGCCCAUUCUGACAAAAUUAGUUGGAGGUCAAAAAGUUCUCCAACUGGAAACAGAAUAACAGAUGCGAAACAGUUGGCAGAUUUACCCACUGCUACAAUGUCAUAUCUCCUAACUCGACUUUAGUAAAUCAUCAGAAUUGACAUGACACAGAAAUGAUGUAGCGUUGCCACACGUUAGUGGGCUCUUGCUCUGUAUUGUACAGUACAGUCUGAAUGCACUUCUCUGUUGUGUCAGAGAGAGGGCAGUGAGGCCUUAGUAGUGAAAGUCAGUCAUUACCAUUAGGCCCAAGUCUUGUGCUGCUCCGGCCUCUGUCUCUCUCUCUGGCUCACUGGAGUGUACUGUAGCAGAGCAGAGGAGAGAUCAUACGCUAGGCAGCCACUGACUGUGUCACGCAAAGCCUACUGUAGACUAGCAUAGCCCCCCCUCCAACAGCCUCUGUUUUCCCCUACGCGCCCGCCUCCAUCAUCUUUGCAUAUCUUGGGGUGAUGCUUCUCUCGGUGUGUGUGUGUCUGUCCCAGGGGAGCUGUAUCAAACGCAGGACGAGUUCAGUUGCUUUAGUGCAGCUCCAGCGAUCACGGAGAUAAUGACUGGCACACGGAGCGAGGCAGUGGGGGCUCACGCACAGUCCCGUUACAUUUCAAAAAGCCCUUGCUGCCUCUCUCUCUCUCUUCGUCAUCCCCACACGAGUCAGUAUGGUGCUCAGAUGGGCCACCCAAUGCUACAAGCCAUCUCCCCCUCCCCCACNNNNNNNNNNAGUUCCACAGCCAUAGAUCCACAGGAACCAAGUCCCCUCAGCCAGAGACAGAGAGAGAGAGACAGAGAGAGAGCGACUCAGACUUCUCCUAUCUGGCCAGCAGAGGGAACUAGUUGUGGUUGGGGCUGAUCCUACAGUUACAACUUCCCCUCGCUCCAUGCAUUUGUGUCAGUAGCGUAGUAGAGAAUGAAACAUUUACCUUGGUGUUCUAGCUGUAAUAGGAGAGCUGCUGCUUCCCCCCUAACACUGGCCCUAUUCCCCAGGACACCCCCUAACACUGGCCCUAUUCCCCAGGACACCCCCCGUAACACUGGCCCUAUUCCCCAGGACACCCCCUAACACUGGCCCUAUUCCCCAGGACACCCCC